ensembl:lncRNA
AAAGAGAAAAAUGUGACACUUUAUGGCGGAGAGAAUACAUUUCAACCCCCGCGGUUUGCCAUCGAGGACCUGAAGGCCGUUUUAUCAUGUGGUGGUUUUCCUCACCGCACAUCGAGUCGGGGAUAAAACACCUGACAUCGUUGGGUGAUCGGGGGGUCUUACAGGAAGCGUCAUGGGACGUUGUUGCACUGAACCAUUAAUGCUAACUAGCUGUUUUGCGACCCGUAUGCUCGACGCCGAGCCGAGCUCCGUGUGUGUUUCUCCUGUUUGCAUUAUUGCAGUUUGAUCCACGGCGCUUCUGGCAGUGAAGCGUCCGUCAGAACCGCUGAGCCAGCUGGACCGCGCCGUGACAAAUACCUGUGCUUUCCACGUGUCGCGUGCACGAACAAACCCCAAAAGUAUAUUUACUGCCGGUUUGCACAUAUAUACAGACUACGCCAGAAUAAUAAUAAUGACACUGAAUCUGCUGUUGGGGAAAGUGGGCUUUCCAGCUGGGAAUCGUCUCCAACAGUAAACAGUGUGCUGCUCGCUGAUAAACUGAUAACCGGAACGCUCAAAGUGUUAUCUGACGCGUCGUACGUUUGACAUAGACUCACUGUAAGCUGGCCUCCGGGCUGAGUUCAUUUAUUAAUCUUUAGCUCAAAUUUGCUGUGAAUGUGGAAACACGGUUCACUGCUUUUGCUUUACAAUUCCCAAACGUGGUAUAUGAAUGCACGAUGCGUGCAGAUAUGCACAGGUUGCUUUGCUAUGUGCAGAAUAAAUGCUGAAAAUCUCUUUUCACGUUAGCGGCAACAUGCAUGUUUCCGUCUGGACGGCGUUUUAGAACAGAAACCCCUUUUUUUCUGCUCGGCUCACACAAUGCUGACAGCUUCAAGGGUGAUCCAGUAAAAGCUCCGGUCCGCCAUUCAAGCGAGGUAAAGCGAAUUAACGAACGCUGUGGUUGGAGGCCACGGCCAACAGAAUGCCAAAGGCCGCCGCUACAGAACCACCUUUGCGGCGACAAAAGAGCAGCGGCGGAGGAGCGCUGAGGAGGAGAGACCCCUCGAAAGCCCCCGGGACGGAAACAGGCUGCGAAUCAAAUGUUCCAUGAAAUGAAAUGCAGCUCUGCAAGGCAACGCGGAUCUCGUUGUCGUUCCCGGGGCCCCCGUGACCUUUACCGGCAGAGGCGGACUUCACCUAAAACCCCCCUCCCGAAUCUCCAGCCGCCCACAGCGCGCCGAACCGGCGGUGACUAAACGGACGUUUGGGUUUAACCGGAGAAGUCUCCUCUCGGGUCACGGUGCAUUGGCUGGGUUGUGUUUGUCCACAGUGACUCACUGUAGCGAGCCCGCCGCUGACUCACCGCCUCGCCGCUGAAAGCCGUGCAUAAAUUACAGCCGGGGCUCGAGCCCUGUGCGCGCACACACACACACACACACACACACACACACACACAAAGCAUGCUCACAACAGUAGUUGACACUGCGCGGGAGCUUCUGCCUGCAGAUCUAAAAAAUCACAACGCUGCGUCUUAACUCCUGCACUCGUGUCCUAGAGAAUCCACAGCGUAUGCCAACAAAGAAACAGAACAACCCGCCUGAGGUGUUGAGUCAUGCGACAAAGAAAGCAACAAACUACAUUAAAAUACAUCUUUUGGUGCUUUGGUUUCAUGCAAAUGCGAUGAUAUUGUUUAUGUAGAUCUCGAAAGGAGCCCGAGGCGUCCAGCCGGGUGUGCUGCCUUUUGAGAGCGUAGGUCUGUUUGUCACCGCAGACCCACUUUCCAUAAUGGCAGCAAUCUGUAUGGUCCAGUGCGAGCCCUGAGUGCAGCGGGCCAGAACGCCCGAGGCAUCAAAGCUGAGUAUAUUCCCCUAUCAGACACAGGCAGCCAUUCCACAGCCUCUUUUCCAUUUAGGCUUUAUGCGGCGGGUAAUGAAGGCUUUUCUCUUUCUGUGGAUAACCUAUUGAGACCCUGCUCCUUGAACAACGAUUCAAACGCCGUCUUGAAAAUGUUCCCGCUCCGGUCGCUCAGGGCCUGUUGCUUUUAUCGCUUCUGCUAAAGAAAUCGUUGCUCGUGAAAGGCGAAACCUUUCAAGGUGGCUGUUAAUGUACACAAACAGGGCUCUUUUUUUACACAUCCGUAAAGCAACCCGAGUUGAGCAAAGUGUUCGUCCGGCGGUGGCGACAAGCUGCGUCGUACCCCAGGAGGGACGCGAGGCGGACGAGUCGCCCUCGCUUUCAAGAGGAACAAUCUCCGGAGCGCUUUCAUCUCCGUCCGCGCGCACGUGCUGUACGCAAGCCGACCGCCGCCGCCGCCCCUUCGCCGCCCUCCGUCUCUAUCUUAUCGAUUUUUUUUUUCUGUUCCAUCUUCUUUUUGUUCCAAGUGUCAACAAAAAGCGGGACGUGAAAGGAUGUGUUUUUGCGGUUUGAGGGCGUGCUGCUCCAUUGUUCCUCCCCGCGCUUCCUAUCUUGUUCUCGGUGAUGGCGCCUCAGUCGGCGCGCGGCUCCGCUCAUCCAUACCAACGACUGCCCUUUAUUUGAUGUCAUUGACGAUGCUCUUUUUCCCGGGUUGAAUGAAAAGUAAGUAGAGAUUGGAAGCCAGAAGUGGGGAAUCAAUUGAGUUUAAAUGGAAAUACUUCUCCUGGGGAAGGAAAAACAUUGUGCUCAUUGAGCUGCUGAAUUGCUUUGGAGGGAAGAAGGAGGACGGGGGCACGUGUGCUUGUGUUAUGUCAGAGGAUAUUAAACUCAUACAUUAAUUACUCGGGGAAUAUUGCGUGUAGAAUAAUUGAUCAUGGUGAUGUUUUUAUUGACUAAUGUUUGCUGAAGGUUGAGCUAGGAAUAUUUAAAUAAUCAAUUCAUUGUAUUUCAAACAUUUGUUAUUGUAAUGUGAUUUUAUUCUUUGUUUUUAAUUAAAUUUUCUCCUACAUAUUUUGCAGCAUCACACCCAAACAAAUUGCUCUUUAUACAGCGGAAUGUGACUCCGAUCGUGUAUUCAGAAGCUAUAUUUCGGUCAUACCAGCUGUUUGAGGAACACUUGAUCUAAAGGAAACUAAAAAUCUAAUCUACAUCUAAAAAAUGUCACAUUAAAAAGAAGUUGUUACUUUUCCUAAUAACCAGACUUUUCAGAUUCAUUGUUUCUGAGUCUAAAUGACAGCAGCAACUGCUGCCAAUUAGUAUAUCUAACUAACUUCUACCUGCUAAUUGGCUGCAACUAAGCACACGGAUGACUCAUUCUGUGUGGGCUGGUCUUAAUUAAUACUUGUGAUACAUUGGUGCUAAAUGUCAAAUAACAGAAGCUUUUUGGAUAAUUAGGGCCAACGGGUGCAAAGGUUGGGCUGACACAGAUGAGCGCCGGCAUCCUGAAUUCGAAACUGGCCUAUUGUGAAGUUACAUUCAGCCAACUAACCGCUUGUUAUUCUACACACGUGUCACACUCCGUAAAACUUUAAAUGACUCACUGCCCUGCCGACUCUUGCAAAUUCCCAAUAUCUCACUCUAUUGUUCUUCAGUGUAUCAAGAGUCCUUCAGCUGGCUCACGACCCAGUAUGAGCCGAGCUUGGACCAGAGUACAAAAUCUCAUUACAAAAUAGAAACUUUGGGUGACUCCUCUCAAGGAGACGAUGAGCCGCGAGCCGAGUAGCUUCGAGAAAACGCAUCGCAGUGUUUGAGACAGACGCUCCUGUGAAACCCUGCAGGAGCAUCAAAGCGGAAUUAAUCAGAAAACAAGGCAGAGGAAAGGUGCGUCCCGCUCGGCAUGCACGCCGCCGCCUUCUCAAACGGUUAUUUGGGCCUCGGAGCCGAAGCCUCGUCCGGCGCUUGCCUCUCGCUGCUGGGGUGGUUACGGAAAACUCCCGACUCAGGUGGAUUCAACAGGCCGGCUCUUUACGUGUUUAUUAAAAUCUUAUGUUUAAAGAAUAUGCUGACAAAAUCUGCGAUAAGACUCACUCCCCUUAUCUUUGUCAAUUACCUCGCCAUGCUGAGUCGAGGUUUCCCCGCCAAUUAACCUUCAGAAAAUGACUGCGGCUAAAUUUUUUUUUGGGGGGGGGGGGCGCAGAGCGACGGCGUGCUUCUGACUGGCGGGUCAGCCGGCCUCAGUGCGCUGAUUGACAGGCUGUGAGCAGGCGAACCAUUGAUCGGGACAUCAUCGCAUUGAGAUCCCCCCCCCCCCCCCUGCCCACCGAUCUGAGCCGGUUUGAGCCCAGACUGUCGCUGUGCUCAAAAGCCCCCUGGCAGAGAUACAAAUGGAGCAUUUAAUGAGGUAACCUACCUUCACGGGCAGUAAUCAGUAAUUCAGCCACGGGUAGUGAGUUUGAGAAUUUGAUGGUGGCGGCACCAUGAUCCGAGUUUUGUUAAUGUGUGUGUGGGAGUAUGGAUGGCGCUGAGGGAGAUGCGCUCAUCAUCAUCGGAUUUGGGAGGGAAACGGGGAGAGAUAAUGACUGUGUUUGAACUUCUGAGCGGCUUUUUUUACAGAACCCGAAAGGAGACAACCAGUAAAACCGCCUCUGUCUCGAAGGGGGAAGUCGUUGUUUCCGACAAGGAAAGUUCUCCCGGGCUCCAUAAAGGGCGGCGGACGCUACGGCGAGCUGGUGCCUCACAAUCACAGGAGUGAAGCGGUUCUUCCGGCCGCAGAAGGAGGUCUCGACGCGAGACGACGGGUACAUCGCUGGGAAGGUUUUUCAUCCCAGUCAGGGAGCAGGAUGCAACAAAUAAAGGCCGGCACAUUAGUGGGGAUGAACACACAUAAAACGCUCCGAUAACAUUGUGUCAGGAUUUGCAUUUUUAUUGCUGUUGUCCAUUUUAAUUUACCUCCACGGACGCACCAAAGGGGAAGAGGGAGGGUUUGCUUUGCUGAUUUUUGAGAAAGAAAACAACAUUUUUUUUAUUCAGAGGAGAAUGAUGGUAGUUUGUAGGAAAAAAAGACUCCCAUUGUGCCUCAGUGGCUCGCGCAUGUUACGGUGUUGUUGUCACGGCUGUAACAAUGCAUUCACCUCCCCUUCGCACAUGCCUCCUCGCUGGCAGGGAUUCCAUUAGAAUACAUCAUUAACUAUUUAAAGGAGCAGAAGCUUUAAUGAGGUUUCCAACAUUGAUUACACAAGCCGUUAAUAUAACAAAAACCAACCAACUGUCCGUGUUUCCCACGAUGCUCCUCAGCCACGCUGCGUUUUUGCCCACUUCUUGUAAAAUACUUGUACGAGGGUGUCCAGUCAAUAAAUGUCACCUGUGCUCUAACGUACCAAAGAGACGAGGAGGAGUCAAUUAUCAUUCUACAACAAAGUAGAAAGGUCAGAUGACAAGAUAUAUCGCACAGCAGAGCAACCUGCUUUAACCGCAUUAUUUAAUAUGUCCAGUUGUCGACCCGUCUGACCCAAUAUGUGUUUUCUAUUAAAGAAUCUUGAUUUCCAUAUCAGUACAAUAUACAGAUUUGCUUCUGUGUCACCGCUUCGCCUGUUGAUUUAAUUGCUUCAUCCCUUCCUGAAUAACAAGCAAAACGCAGCGGCUGCGCCGCAAACCCGGAUCGCGGAUUGAUGGGAGACAAAUGGCGUCCGAGACGCGGAUCGAUGACACGUAGCAGAUUUAUUACACCUUGGUAUGUAUUUUCCCGGAGCCACCUGGGUGAGGGAUUGUUGGUCCUGACACCUCGCCGCCCAAGUAGGACAGUUAGACGCCGAUACUGAUCUGUCAUCCAUUUGAGGCGCGGUUUCCAGAUGUAGCGCUGUCUUCUGAAAAGGACGCGAGGUCACUGCCGGUUGAACAGAAGUAACACAGCAGGGUGUGAUGUCAAUUUAUAGAGUUUAAAAAGUUAAAUAACAAAUAAUCAAGUGAGUCGGAGAGAUUAAAAAGUAAUAAAAGGCAAAUGGUUUAUCAAAUGAUACCCGGACAAAAUGAAUCUCGUUUGAGUCUCUCAUCUCGUCAUCAUCGUUAUCUUUCAGACCAAAGGAAGCUUCUAAAGAAAAUCACUAAACAAGAUUCAAAGCGCCAAAAAAAGAUUCUGUACCUGAGUUUUAGCUGCUCAUUAUAAACACAAGUCACGUCAUUACGCUCACCUGAUGUAAACCUGGUUCACCAGCAUACUUCAUUACUUUUCAUAUUUCAUAUUUCAGGACGUUGGAUAACGUAGAUGUGUAAAGACACACAAAAGAAAUGGAGGGGAGGCUUCGAGGAAAGGAAACGGCAGCAGAUGGCCAGAGAUCCUCCUUUAAAGGAGCGUCGCCUCAGGUUUGUAAUCCUUCUCUGUGGGCGAUAAAGCCUCAAUCAUCUCCUCCUGUCUCACUCAGGAACGCGCCUGAAACACGUGCGCCGACCGCGCAGUUAUUAAAAACCGUGGAGACCUCCAGUCUCCCCCCCCCCGAGGUCUGACUGAGUGAGUGGCAUGUAAUAAGAGGGGAGAGCCGAGGUGUCACGGAUGGAGGAAAAGCCCCGUCACGCCGGUGAAAAGGUGACGCGGCGCCGCGGAGAACCGGUCUGUCGG